rnacentral:rRNA from 1 species
AAAAAUUGAAUAUAACAAUUUUUUAAAAAAUAAGUAUAAAAAGAAAUUAUUAUGAAUUGUCUGCUAUGAACCAAGGCUUAAUGAAUGUAAAGAGCACUGAAAAAUCAGUUAUAUAAACAAAGUAAAUUGAAAUAUCUUAAUAACUUUAGGAAAAUAAAUCAAACGAGAUUCUACAAAAAAUGUGAAGCAAGGUAGAAAAGCUUAUAAGUAAAACGGUAUAUCUGUUUGAAUAAAGGGGAACCUUCCUCUAAAGCUAAAUAUGGUAAUCAUAAGCGAUAGUGAAAAGUACCGUGAGGGAAUACAUGAAAUAGUAGUUUUAUAAGCAGCUUGAGAUAAAUUUAAAUAAAAAACGAAAGCGUACCUUUUGCAUAAUGGGUCAGCAAGUUAAUGUUAGAUGCAAAGUAAAGUAAAGUAAAGUUUAAACAUAAGUUUAAACAUAGGAUUAAACAGUAUAUAGGUAUAUACUGAAGAGAUGAUAUUUUCACUAAUUAAUCUUUAUUCAACCAGAUAACGAUGUGUUAUCUAGUUGACUAUUACUUCAGAGAAAUCGAUUAUGUAAAAAUGAGAAGUAUCUAACUUUAGACCCGAAGACUAGUGAUCUUACCAUUAUCAGGAUUAUAAAAGUCCGAACGGGUUAUCGUUGUAAAGAUAUCCGAAGAAUGGUGGUAAGUAAGUGAAAGACAAAACUGACUAGUUCAGCUGGUUUUCCGCGAAACCUAUAUAAGUAGGUAAUUUAAUUAAGAUUUUAGCAGGUACAGAACUGUGAUCUCGAUCAAAUUUAUUUGAAUACAUCGGGGGAUCGUGAAGAUUUUAUCGGAGAGAUUUUGCACUCGGAAGGGCUAAAAUUUAUAUUAAAUAAUCGGACAUAGUACGAUAAGGUUGUAUGUCUAAAGGGAAACAGCCCAGAACAAGAGUUAAUAAGGUUCCAAAAUUAUUGUUGAGUGAAAUAAAGGAUGUGUCUUUAAACACGAUCAGGAAAUAGGCUUAGAAGCGGCCAUUUUUUAAAGAUCUCGUAACAGAGCACUGAUAAAAAAAAAGAUCAUACCAAAAAUAUAACGGAUCUAAAUAAUAUACCGAAACCUUGUCCAUAAAUAAAUAUUUAUUUAUGGGGUAGUGGAACAUUGGAUAAAUCUAAGAUUUAUUUUUUAUAAAAAUAAAAAAAGCAGAUAACCCAAGUGAUAAUGCUGACAUGAGUAACGAAAAAGAUUUUGGAGUAGAAGAUUUACUAGUAUUACUAGUAAAUUAGUAACUCCACUCGCCUUAAGCUUAUGGCAGGAUGUGCAAAUAAUUUACGGCCUCUAAAGAAUUAAUCUGAUGAGAUAAAAAGCUUCAAAGCAAAGAAAAAACUAAUUAAAGUGAAAUUAGUUCUGGAAAAUAAACUGAAAAAAACCGUUCCUAAAUACUACCACAAGUAAGCUAGUAGAAAAUACGAAGGCGUUUGAGUAAUCAAUCAUUAAGGAACUCGGCAAAUUGACUCACGUAACUUCGGGAUAAGGUGGGCCAUUAUAAUACGGUAAUUAUAAAUACCUAUAUAAGAGGAAGCAUAGAAUUGUGUUGUACGACUGUUUAAUUAAAACAAAGCACUCUGCUAAGAUAUAUCGAACUAUUGAGUGUGAUGUCUGCCCAGUGUCGGCUCGGUAACUAAAAGGCUUAAAAUUAAAAAGUUAGGUCUGGAUGGAAUCCCCGAUAAACGGCGGCCUUACCGAUGAGGGUCCUAAGGUAGCGGAAUACCCUGGCCGUUAAAUGCGGUCUUGCAUGAAUGAUGUAACGAUACAACAGCUGUCUCGAUGAUUUGCUCAGUGAAAUUGGAAUAGCAGUGCAGAUACUGUUUACCUCUAGAUAGACGAGAAGACCCUUUGCAGCUUUACUGUUACUAAUUUAAAUUAUAAUAUAAGAUUUGCAAGAGUAUAAGGUAGAAGUAUUAGGUGUAUAUAUAUACAAACAAAAACUAAAUCCCUGAGCAGAGUAUACUUUAGUGUAAAGUAAAAAACAAUUGUUUUUUACUAAACACUAAGCUCUGUUUAGAUCCCUCAAUAC